AAGUCGUAACAAGGUUCCCUUCUGCAGCGCAGCUCCGGAGACCUUGCACCCCGAACGGGAGGCAGCACGACGAUAAACAAAGCUCGCCGCGUGCAAGUUGGCCGCACGGUCAGCAACACGAUCGAAUUGACGGGGACCUCCUAAAGCCUGCAACACCAACCGUCCGGGGAAACUCGGGCGGGGCCCUCACGGGGUGGUAAGAGAGUGCAGGAUGAACAAUGGACGAUCCGCAGCGAAGACCCUACCGGCGAGAGCCCACGGGUACCGUUCACAG
rnacentral:misc_RNA from 1 species